rnacentral:rRNA from 1 species
UACGUAGGCAGCAAGCGUUGUUCGGAAUUACUGGGCGUAAAGAGUGUGUAGGCGGUGCUCCAAGUCUGGUGUGAAAUCCCCCGGCUUAACUGGGAGGGUGCAUUAGAAACUGGAAUGCUAGAGGAUGGGAGAGGUAAGCGGAAUUCCUGGUGUAGCGGUGAAAUGCGUAGAGAUCGGGAGGAACAUCUGUGGCGAAGGCGGCCACCUGGACCAACACUGACACUGAGGCACGAAAGCGUGGGGAGCAAACAGG